GAUGAACGCUGGCGGCGUGCCUAAUACAUGCAAGUCGAGCGAACAGAUAAGGAGCUUGCUCCUUUGACGUUAGCGGCGGACGGGUGAGUAACACGUGGAUAACCUACCUAUAAGACUGGGAUAACUUCGGGAAACCGGAGCUAAUACCGGAUAACAUAUUGAACCGCAUGGUUCAAUAGUGAAAGGCGGCUUUGCUGUCACUUAUAGAUGGAUCCGCGCCGUAUUAUCUAGUUGGUAAGGUAACGGCUUACCAAGGCAACGAUACGUAGCCGACCUGAGAGGGUGAUCGGCCACACUGGAACUGAGACACGGUCCAGACUCCUACGGGAGGCAGCAGUAGGGAAUCUUCCGCAAUGGGCGAAAGCCUGACGGAGCAACGCCGCGUGAGUGAUGAAGGUCUUCGGAUCGUAAAACUCUGUUAUCAGGGAAGAACAAAUGUGUAAGUAACUGUGCACAUCUUGACGGUACCUGAUCAGAAAGCCACGGCUAACUACGUG
rnacentral:rRNA from 1 species